AGAGUUUGAUCCUGGCUCAGAACGAACGCUGGCGGCGUGCUUAACACAUGCAAGUCGAACGGAAAGGUCUCCUCGGAGGUACUCGCGUGGCGAACGGGUGAGUAACACGUGGGUGAUCUACCCUGCACUUCAGGAUAAGCCUGGGAAACUGGGUCUAAUACCGGAUAGGACCACGGGAUGCAUGUCCUGUGGUGGAAAGCGUUUAGCGGUGUGGGAUGGGCCCGCGGCCCAUCAGCUUGUUGGUGGGGUGAUGGCCUACCAAGGCGACGACGGGUAGCUGGCCUGAGAGGGUGUCCGGCCACACUGGGACUGAGAUACGGCCCAGACUCCUACGGGAGGCAGCGGUGGGGAAUAUUGCACAAUGGGCGCAAGCCUGAUGCAGCGACGCCGCGUGGGGGAUGACGGCCUUCGGGUUGUAAACCUCUUUCACCAUCGACGAAGGUUCGGGUUUUCUCGGGUUGACGGUAGGUGGAGAAGAAGCACCGGCCAACUACGUGCCAGCAGCCGCGGUAAU
rnacentral:rRNA from 1 species